AGCUGGACCUGAGAUACAAUCAUCCAGGAGACUCAGGAGAGAAGAUCCUGUCUGCUGGACUGGAGGAUCCACACUGGAGACUGGACACUCUCAGGCUGCAGCCUGCUGGAGAACGAUGGUUGACACCAGGUCCUUGGAGAUAUGCCUGUGAACUGGAACUGGAUCCAAACACAGUGAACGGAUACCUCAAACUGUCUGAUAACAACAGGA